GGCUCGAGUCCGAUGCUCACCUCGGGUCCCGGCCGGUAAUAAACUCCUGUGUGGAUUUAAUAUCAGUCUCUGGUUGGUUCUCUCUCACCGGGUGCAGCACUCUGUCCAUCUGAUAAUUCAAUACAUGAAGAUUUUGCUGAAUAAGGUCUGGUGUAUAGCAUGGUGGCUGGAUAUGCAUAGACAAGAAAUGACCAUCACAGCAUCCUUAGACCCCAUUUUGCAUUGCUUCUGUGGUAAUCCUGCAUCCUACCCGAGAAUUCUGAAGUCACAGAUCCUUCUAACUGCAGUUACUGUGUUCCUGGAUGAGAAUGUGCCUUGAAUCUCAGAAGAGACUUUGAACUUGAACUUUUCAACAAUGCUUAAACAGGAAUGUAUCCAUUUCUUCUAGAUUCUCCAAUUCAUCAGAAUUACCAGAGAUUGAACUCAAGACCUUGCGCUUGCGAGGGAGGUGUGGUGCCACUGAGGUAAAUCCCCAGCCCUCAGUUUAUUUUAAAUGAUAAAAUAAAGAAGACCACUGUGAAAAUUUUUGACAAAUUUUAAAAUAAAGAAAAUAAAUGUCAUGUAA
rnacentral:lncRNA from 1 species